GACUCAAUCGUUUCAUAUUCGUGCUCAUUCAUUUCAUGUUCGUGUCACGCGUCUUGUGUGUUGUGUUGUGACUUAAUCGUUUCAUCGUUUUCAUUCAUUGAUAAUCGUUUCGUCCUCGUGUCUUCGAUUUGUGUUCGUGUCACGUGUUUUCAUCGUGUCUAUCGUAUCCCUUAAUUUGCUUUAGUUCUUUACUCGUCUAUCGUGACUCUUAGUUCGCUUUUGUGCUCGUGCUUUCGUGUCUUACUCGUAACUCGAUCAUUUCAUUGUCAAAUUUCGUGAUCGUGUCACACGAUCUAUCGUGACUAAAUCAUUUCAUACUCGUGCUGAUUAAUAUCGCGUUCGUGUCACGCGUCGCGUGUGUUGUGUUUGGCUGCUCACGGUGUCAUCUCUAGCUGUCAUGUGCUGCGGGAUCCGUUGGGAUGACAGCCAAAGUGCUUUUUUUGUUGUGUUACAAAAUUUAAAAUGCUCAAUUCUUCGAAGUUUCUUCAAUAAUUUUUAAAGCUCAAACUGACCGAGUGAACUCAGCAUCGGUUGAUGCUAACUAACUGGAAUUUGCUUGGUUUCAGCUUGUGUCACUUUUUUUGGGU